rnacentral:rRNA from 1 species
GAUGAACGCUGGCGGCGUGCCUAAUACAUGCAAGUCGAGCGAACAGACGAGUAGCUUGCUCCUUCGACGUUAGCGGCGGACGGGUGAGUAACACGCAGGUAACCUACCUAUAAGACUGGGAUAACUUCGGGAAACCGGAGCUAAUACCGGCUAAUAUUUCGAACCGCAUGGUUCGAUAGAGAAAGAUGGCUUUGCUAUCACUUAUAGACGGACCUGCGCCGUAUUAGCUAGUUGGUAAGGUAACGGCUUACCAAGGGAACGAUACGUAGCUGACCUGAGAGGAUGAUCGGCCACACUGGAACUGAGACACGGUCCAGACUCCUACGGGAGGCAGCAGUAGGGAAUCUUCCGCAAUGGGCGAAAGCCUGACGGAGCAACGCCGCGUGAGUGAUGAAGGUCUUCGGAUCGUAAACCUCUGUUAUUAGGGAAGAACAAACGUGUAAGUAACUGUGCACAUCUUGACGGUACCUAAUCAGAAAGCCACGGCUAACUACGUG